rnacentral:rRNA from 1 species
UACAGAGGUCUCAAGCGUUGUUCGGAUUCAUUGGGCGUAAAGGGUGCGUAGGCGGCGCGGUAAGUCGGGUGUGAAAUCUCGGAGCUUAACUCCGAAACUGCAUUCGAUACUGCCGUGCUUUGAGGACUGGAGAGGAGACUGGAAUUUACGGUGUAGCGGUGAAAUGCGUAGAUAUCGUAAGGAAGACCGGUGGCGAAGGCGGCCUUCUGGACAGUGACUGACGCUGAGACGCGAAAGCGUUGGGGAGCAAACAGG